CUUGUGAAGUCCAGGGGCUCA
rnacentral:piRNA from 1 species